CUAGUGUAGAGGUGAAAUUCGUAGAUAUUAGAAAGAAUACCAAUUGCGAAGGCAGCUUUCUGGAUCAUUACUGACACUGAGGAACGAAAGCAUGGGUAGCGAAGAGGAUUAGAUACCCUCGUAGUCCAUGCUGUAAACGAUGUGUGUUAGACGUUGGAAAUUUAUUUUCAGUGUCGCAGCGAAAGCAAUAAACACACCGCCUGGGGAGUACGACCGCAAGGUUAAAACUCAAAUGAAUUGACGGGGACCCGCACAAGUAGUGGAGCAUGUGGUUUAAUUCGAAGAUACGCGCAGAACCUUACCAACACUUGACAUGUUCGUCGCGACUCUAAGAGAUUAGAGUUUUCGGUUCGGCCGGACGAAACACAGGUGCUGCAUGGCUGUCGUCAGCUCGUGUCGUGAGAUGUUGGGUUAAGUCCCGCAACGAGCGCAACCCUCACUUUUAGUUGCCAUCAUUUAGUUGGGCACUCUGAAAGAACUGCCAGUGAUAAGCUGGAGGAAGGUGGGGAUGACGUCAAGUCCUCAUGGCCCUUACGUGUUGGGCUACACACGUGCUACAAUGGUAUCUACAACAGGAAGCAAAAUGGCAACAUUAAGCAAAUCCCUAAAAGAUACCUCAGUUCGGAUUGCACUCUGCAACUCGAGUGCAUGAAGCUGGAAUUACUAGUAAUCGUGGAUCAGCGUGCCACGGUGAAUGCGUUCCCGGGUCUUGUACACACCGCCCGUCACACCAUGGGAGUUGGUUCUACCUUAAGGCAAAGUUUAAAACCUUUGACCACGGUAUAGUCAGCGACUGGGGUGAAGUCGUAACAAGGUAGCCGUAGGGGAACCUGCGGCUG
rnacentral:rRNA from 1 species